rnacentral:rRNA from 1 species
UACGGAGGGUGCGAGCGUUGUCCGGAAUCAUUGGGCGUAAAGGGCGCGUAGGUGGCCUGCUAAGCGUGCGGUGAAGGCUCGGGGCUCAACCCCGAGUCGGCCGUGCGAACUGGUGGGCUUGAGCACUGUAGAGGCAGGCGGAAUUCCGGGUGUAGCGGUGGAAUGCGUAGAGAUCCGGAAGAACACCGGUGGCGAAGGCGGCCUGCUGGGCAGUAGCUGACACUGAGGCGCGACAGCGUGGGGAGCAAACAGG